rnacentral:rRNA from 1 species
CAGCAGCCACGGGAAUACGAAGGGGGCUAGCGUUGCUCGGAUUUACUGGGCGUAAAGGGCGCGUAGGCGGAUAGUUAAGUUGGGGGUGAAAGCCCGGGGCUCAACCUCGGAAUUGCCUUCAAUACUGGUUAUCUUGAGUGUGAGAGAGGUGUGUGGAACUCCGAGUGUAGAGGUGAAAUUCGUAGAUAUUCGGAAGAACACCAGUGGCGAAGGCGACACACUGGCUCACUACUGACGCUGAGGCGCGAAAGCGUGGGGAGCAAACAGGAUUAGAUACCCGCGUAGUCCCUGUCUCUUAUAC